UUUGUAUGAACGAUGAUUUUUUUGUCUUUUCCAAACUAGGAAUCCAACUAAGGUAUUCAACAGCUGUUGAAUAUCUCAGUUGGAUUCCUAGUUUGGAAAAGACAGAAAAAUCAAGGUUCAUACAAA
rnacentral:miRNA from 1 species